GCUCCCCCCAAAGCUGUCCUGAAGGGUCAGGAGAGCCCCCAGUACAGCAUACGGAGGGAGAGAGGAGAGAUUGUUCUGUUGGGCAGAAAUGCGUGCACUGACAGAACAAUCUCCUUAGCACAAUCACUUU